rnacentral:tRNA from 1 species
GGGUUGGUAGCAAACGUUGGCUUUGCAGCGGACUCUUAAUCCGUCUCAACGAGGGUUCGAUUCCCUCCCGACCCA